AUGGUGGGAAGGAGCGCCCAGCUUGGGGCCAACACAGGCAGGUCAGGGAGGGGCUAUGCCCAGCGGGGAACGGAUGGCACGCUCCCUCCCAGAAAGGCUGCUGCAGGGCUCAGCACUCUGAACCUUAAAAGGUUUACCCAACACAGCCUCCAGAUGCUCAGAGUCUUUCAGGCUCAGAACCAGAAUUGUCAGCUUGCCAAGAUGAAUCUGUCUGUCUCUUGGGAGAGGCCCACACAGAAUAAGCGUUUGAAGCAGAAGUUUGCUUGGUAAACUUGGAAUCGGAACCUGGGAAUUGGGCCACUGGGAUAUUCAAUGGCGUCAGACCGGUGUAGCUGAUACUCCUGGACAGAGGGGCUCUGCCAACUGGACAGAUGUGUGAAGUGUUGCUGACCGAGCUCCUUGCUCUGUGUGGGAGGGAGCUUGCCAGCUCCAGCCUUGUGGGUCUCCUUUUUCUAUUUCCAAGCUUAAAUAAGCACUUGGCUGUUCUGAUUAGCAUUUUUAAAAGCUGUGUUAAUAAGUUCAAUUAAAAUAGAAGAAUCUCUCAUUCUGUCAUAUCGGGGUUUUUUUAAAUUGCAAACCAAUAAAACUUAAAUGAACUUAAGCAAA
rnacentral:lncRNA from 1 species